rnacentral:rRNA from 4 species
CCGCGACCCCAGGUCAGGCGGGAUUA